rnacentral:rRNA from 1 species
GAUGAACGCUGACAGAAUGCUUAACACAUGCAAGUCAUUGGCGAAGCUGCGCUUGCGCAGUCUAGCCAAGGCGGACGGGUGAGUAACGCGUAAGGAACUUGCCCUGCAGACAGGGAUAACAGACGGAAACGACUGAUAACACCUGGUAUUGUCAGGCUGGCGCAUGCCGGCCUGAUGAAAGGAGACGCUGCAGGAGAGCCUUGCGUCCUAGUAGCUAGUUGGUGGGGUAACGGCCCACCAAGGCGAUGAUAGGUAGCCGGCCUGAGAGGGUGAACGGCCACAAGGGGAAGGAGAGACGGCCCUUACUCCUACGGGAGGCAGCAGUGAGGAAUAUUGGACAAUGGGGGCAACAGUGAUCCAGCAAUUCUGUGUGCAAGAAGAAGGUUUUCGGAUUGUAAAGUGCUUUCAGCAGGGAAGCAGAAAGUGACGGUACCUGCAGAAGAAGCGACGGCUAAAUACGUG